AUUGAACGCUGGCGGCAGGCCUAACACAUGCAAGUCGAGCGGUAGAGAGGAGCUUGCUUCUCUUGAGAGCGGCGGACGGGUGAGUAAUGCCUAGGAAUCUGCCUGAUAGUGGGGGAUAACGUCCGGAAACGGACGCUAAUACCGCAUACGUCCUACGGGAGAAAGUGGGGGCUCUUCGGACCUCACGCUAUCAGAUGAGCCUAGGUCGGAUUAGCUAGUUGGUGGGGUAAAGGCUCACCAAGGCGACGAUCCGUAACUGGUCUGAGAGGAUGAUCAGUCACACUGGAACUGAGACACGGUCCAGACUCCUACGGGAGGCAGCAGUGGGGAAUAUUGGACAAUGGGCGAAAGCCUGAUCCAGCCAUGCCGCGUGUGUGAAGAAGGUCUUCGGAUUGUAAAGCACUUUAAGUUGGGAGGAAGGGUCGUUACCUAAUACGUGACGAUUUUGACGUUACCGACAGAAUAAGCACCGGCUAACUCUGUGCCAGCCGCCGCGGUAACAC
rnacentral:rRNA from 1 species